rnacentral:rRNA from 1 species
UACAGAGGGGGCGAGCGUUGUUCGGAAUUACUGGGCGUAAAGGGCGCGUAGGCGGCCUGCUAAGUCGGACGUGAAAUCCCUCGGCUCAACCGGGGAACUGCGUCCGAUACUGGUUGGCUUGAAUUCGGGAGAGGGAUGCGGAAUUCCAGGUGUAGCGGUGAAAUGCGUAGAUAUCUGGAGGAACACCGAUGGCGAAGGCAGGUCUCUGGGCAUUAACUGACGCUGAGGAGCGAAAGCAUGGGGAGCGAACAGG